UUUAAAACGCUUCUUAAUCAAAAUGGAAAUUUAUUAAGAGCAUUUGAUGUAUAUGCCCACUGGUAAAUAUAUUACAGUUGCUCUGCUUCCAUGUUCAUAUAGUUGUUUAUUCAGCUCUUCAAGAACUCCUGAGUUUAAAAUAAAUCCAUUUGUAACUGUGGCAAAUUACAAUUCUUUCUCAAAUUCUGUUUACUGAAUUAUGACAUUAUCAGAAGUCCACACACUAGGUAGAAAGUCUUACUUAAGGUGACUGGAGUCAGUGAACAAAUGUAAGAGUUACUGUUAUUUAAAUUUUCAUGUUGCUUGAAUAACUGGAAAUGUUUUGCCUGAUCAUGAUUUUAUGUAAGGAAAGUCAUUGUAAUACCAGUGAAUUCCACAUUCAAAUAGAUACAUUAUUAUCUUCUUUUGACUGUCAA